GACGAACGCUGGCGGCGUGCUUAACACAUGCAAGUCGAACGGUGAAGCGCCUUCCUUUUUGGUGGGUGUGGAUGAGUGGCGAACGGGUGAGUAACACGUGAGUAACCUGCCCCCUUCUUCUGGAUAACCGCAUGAAAGUGUGGCCAAUACGGGAUAUUCUGGGUCUGUCGCAUGAUGGGUCUGGGAAAGAUAUUGUUUCGGUGGGGGAUGGGCUCGCGGCCUAUCAGCGUGUUGGUGGGGUGAUGGCCUACCAAGGCGGUGACGGGUAGCCGGCCUGAGAGGGUGGACGGUCACACUGGGACUGGGACACGGCCCAGACUCCUACGGGAGGCAGCAGUGGGGAAUAUUGCACAAUGGGCGCAAGCCUGAUGCAGCGACGCCGCGUGAGGGAUGGAGGCCUUCGGGUUGUGAACCUCUUUCGCCAGUGAAGCAGGCCUGCCUCGUUUGUGGGUGGGUUGACGGUAGCUGGAUAAGAAGCGCCGGCUAACUACGUG
rnacentral:rRNA from 1 species